GAGUUGGCAGGCGCCAGUGGCGCCUAAAAAUUAUACAUCACCAACACUCACACACUGAAGAUGCCUGUUAGUCCCCGGCAGAUAUCUCAUUGCAUUGUUUCCUUAUGUGAAUGUAUAAUUGGAAUGAGUUGAGCAUAAAUCCUUCAAACAAGGAUCAAGUGGAGGGCAAGUCUGGUGCCAGCAGCCGCGGUUAUUCCAGCUCUACUAGCGUGUAUUAAAAUUGUUGCGGUUAAAACGUUCGAAGUUUAUUCUUGUCCAACACGCUAUUUACUUCUUUAUGAUGGCAGUAGAAUCCAGGAGCGACUCAAUCAAUCUCAGCCCAAGCUCAAAUCCCCAGGAAUUUCCUUCGGAAAGUCUUGCAUUGAUUUCUUUUGAAAGUUCGCUUCAGAAUUUCCAUAGAAUCCAUCCAUCGUUAGAGGAUACUCCACACAUUUUUCAAAAAUGCCCUUUGGAAAAGCUUUCAUAGGUUUCCUUGAAAAAUCCUACAUAGACUUUAUCAGGAACCUGUACGAAAAUUCUUUCUGGAAAUCAUCC
rnacentral:ncRNA from 2 species